UGUGUCUGAAGCCUCUCAGUGGAGGAAAUCGUCCAAAUCAUUCUUCAAGAUGAAAGGUUUCACUUUGGCUCUGUUGACUGUGGUGUUGGUGGGCGUGGCAUUUUCACAACAAUGCAGCAACUACUGGUGUGAAGGCAGAUUUGAUCGUUUAAUGUGCUGUAACAAACGCCCAUCCUGUCCUUCUCAAGAAAAAUGUGGCAGUUCAAUGAAUGUUCCUGAUGGCGUUUCCGGUCCAUUUGAAUGCGACCAUGACAGCGAUUGUGGCAGCGGAAUCCUUUGCUGCUUUGAUGAUUGUUUUGAAAAGAAAUUCUGCAAAAUUGCGGAAAUUAGAAGCUUUUAGGAUACAGCACUGAUCAAGACAGAUGUUCAACAUGAUUUUCAAAACAGGCUUUGUUUUUAACUGAUAACGUUACUGCUUAGUUCCUUUUAAUACUAGAGUCACUUUUCAACCAUUGUACUGUAUUCCUGUUAGAGAAAAAUUGAAUAAAAAAAAUGUGAUGAAAAAUG